rnacentral:rRNA from 1 species
CAAGUCGAACGCGAAAGUGGAGCAAUCCAUGAGUAGAGUGGCAAACGGGUGAGUAACGCGUGGGCGACCUACCUCAGAGUGGGGGAUAACCUUCCGAAAGGAGGGCUAAUACCGCAUGACAUACCGUGUUUGGAUACACGGAUAUCAAAGCCGGGGAUCGCAAGACCUGGCGCUUGGAGAGGGGCCCGCGUCCGAUUAGCUAGUUGGUGAGGUAACGGCUCACCAAGGCUCCGAUCGGUAUCCGGCCUGAGAGGGCGGACGGACACACUGGAACUGAGACACGGUCCAGACUCCUACGGGAGGCAGCAGUGGGGAAUUGUUCGCAAUGGGCGCAAGCCUGACGACGCAACGCCGCGUGGAGGAUGAAGACUUUCGGGUCGUAAACUCCUUUCGACCGAGAUGAAUUUCCCACGACCUAACACGUCGUGGGAGUGACAGUAUCGAGGGAAGAAGCCCCGGCUAACUCCGUGCCAGCAGCCGCGGUAAUACGGGGGGGGCAAGCGUUGUUCGGAAUUACUGGGCGUAAAGGGUCUGUAGGUGGCUUGUUAAGUCAGACGUGAAAUCCCUCAGCUUAACUGGGAACUGCGUCUGAUACUGGCGAGCUUGAGUGCAGGAGAGGAACGCGGAAUUCCAGGUGUAGCGGUGAAAUGCGUAGAUAUCUGGAGGAACACCGGUGGCGAAGGCGGCGUUCUGGACUGUAACUGACACUGAGAGACGAAAGCCAGGGUAGCAAACGGGAUUAGAUACCCCGGUAGUCCUGGCCCUAAACGAUGAAUGCUUGGUGUGGCGGGUAUCGAUCCCU